rnacentral:antisense_RNA from 1 species
CUUGACGGAGCCCAGCAGCAGCGGCUCGGCCCGGUCCUGCCCGUAGGUGGCGAACAGGGCCUGCGCUUC